GAGUUUGAUCGUGGCUCAGGAUGAACGCUGGCGGCGUGCCUAAUACAUGCAAGUCGAGCGAACAGACGAGGAGCUUGCUCCUCUGACGUUAGCGGCGGACGGGUGAGUAACACGUGGAUAACCUACCUAUAAGACUGGGAUAACUUCGGGAAACCGGAGCUAAUACCGGAUAAUAUAUUGAACCGCAUGGUUCAAUAGUGAAAGACGGUUUUGCUGUCACUUAUAGAUGGAUCCGCGCCGCAUUA
rnacentral:rRNA from 1 species